GCAUUGGCGGAUCUAUACAUGCAGUCGACGAGUUCUCGUUGAUGAUCGGUGCUUGCACCGAGAUUCAACAUGGAACGAGUGGCGGACGGGUGAGUAACACGUGGGUAACCUGCCCUUAAGUGGGGGAUAACAUUUGGAAACAGAUGCUAAUACCGCAUAGAUCCAAGAACCGCAUGGUUCUUGGCUGAAAGAUGGCGUAAGCUAUCGCUUUUGGAUGGACCCGCGGCGUAUUAGCUAGUUGGUGAGGUAAUGGCUCACCAAGGCGAUGAUACGUAGCCGAACUGAGAGGUUGAUCGGCCACAUUGGGACUGAGACACGGCCCAAACUCCUACGGGAGGCAGCAGUAGGGAAUCUUCCACAAUGGACGCAAGUCUGAUGGAGCAACGCCGCGUGAGUGAAGAAGGCUUUCGGGUCGUAAAACUCUGUUGUUGGAGAAGAAUGGUCGGCAGAGUAACUGUUGUCGGCGUGACGGUAUCCGACCAGAAAGCCACGGCUAACUACGUGCCAGCAGUCCGCGGUAAAUACGGUAGGUGGCAAGCGGUAUCCGGAUUUGC
rnacentral:rRNA from 1 species